UCAUAAGAAUUAAAAGUGUAUAUAAUAUAACAAAAUUUUAAUUUUAAUUUUUCUAGUGUUAUUUUAUGUCCCAUGCAUGUUUUCUUGUCUUCUUCUUCUUUUUGUAGUUUCAAGUAUUAUUUUUUAUGAAUUUAAUUAAAAUUUUCUUCUUCUAUUUAAGGCAUAUGGAGAAAAUAAGGAGCUCUCUCCGGUCCAGUCCGAGGCACUCAAAGGCUAAAAACACAGCUGACGACUCGUUGAUUCUCAAACAUAUCAAGAAGCAUUUUUUGAAAUUGGUGUGUUUAAGAUUCAACGAUGCGUGAGCUAUGUUUGGCUAGCGUUGUCACGUCUUGGACUGAAGGGAGCUCCCUAUUAAAUAUAUAUCCACUACCCCUUAAAUUUUCGUGCAUAUAGCAAAAUGAUGUGUCAAUAGUUUGAUAUAUGGGCGCGAAAUAAUAAACUACAUGAAUCGAAGAUUAUAAUCUUGGCCUUUUGAUGAAAAUGAAUUGAUAUUAUUGACGUUCUCUUCAACUUUGUAUCCUAAUUCAAUACAAACUAUCUCCGGUUGACAAAGUAAAAAGUCAAAAUUAAUUUACUCGUUUUUUAAUUUAGGGUUUUUGGAGAAAGGUGGAUAAAUUCUCUACAUGAAUAAUUGUUCUUGCAAUGUAUGAGAUAAAUAGUUAAUUAUGAUCUAUUAAUUAUACUUGUAGUUAAUUAAUGUUACUAAUGUUGUGCCACAUGGAAUGGAAUAUCUUAUUAUCUUA